GUCCGCCUGUGGCCUAGUGGGCAAGGUCCCAGUCUUGGGAAUGUGGGGUUGUAGGUUCAAGCCCAGCUAGGGACA
rnacentral:tRNA from 1 species